GCUUCUGGAAGCCGCACGCUCCUCCUGGUACAACUGUAACCGGUACGAUGAGGAUGAGGCCAAUACAGCUCGUGAUGCCCAGGAGAAGUAGCACUCAUCCUUGGCCAGAACUUCUUGAUUCUGCAUGCAGCAGAAGGAGGAUAUUGAAACGGGUUUGGAGGAGUCCGCUCAGCAUUCGCAGACGGUGCAGCGCGUGCAGACUACCAAAAUGAAGGCGGAGGAUUUGCAACAAUACGCCAGCAAUGGGGCACCGUCUGAAGCGAGCUUGACGAAAGCAAGCUGUAAAACAUGGAGUUGGAGUCGAUAGACAAAUUCUUUUCGGCUUAACAAAAGAAUGCGGUAUCGGCUAUUGAUGGCUCCUAUGAGGAUCUGCGAGCAACUGGCGGCAAGCCAGCCAAGCAAGCAAGGUGCUCUCAGAGAUCGAUGGACGCCGGGCCCAGAACUGCACCAUCCUGCUCAGCAAGCUGAAGAUG